ACUAUAUUUACUCACAAUUGAUGGUACUGUGAAUUCUAUGGCAUUAACUCUUGCUAAAUUGCUCCCAUUCCCAUGGGAAACACUCUCUUGGCUGUAGGAGUCAAAUAGCAUGCCUUCUAUCUUUUGUUACGAUGUUCUAAAUGUGUGUGCUUCAGUUGAAACCUUGUGUGAUACCUGGGUUUAAAAUAUUGGGAUAUUUCUUCUGAAGUGGCCAUAGACAUUCAUAUCCAAUUCUUGGGCCUGGGAUCAAUUAGUCCCCCAAAGAAUUCUUUCUUCUUCAAAGAUGCUCAGUGAAAAAUCAGAGAUGAUAACAGGCCAGUUUUGACGUUUAAUAUGGAUGGGCAUUUUGACUUGGAUGUGGGAUAGCACAAUGCUACAAAUCCAGAGUCAAGUUAGAGAAUCAUUCCUCCCCAAUAUGUGCUGGGACUCUUGGUUGCAUAUUCUUCACUCAGGGGAGGUCCCUCUCACAUCUGGCUCUCCCACACUCUUCCAGUGGAGCAUUUGGGCAAUAAGCCUCCCACACCCUCUCACAUACCCUUUUCUGAAUGGUUCCAGAAGGAAAGGGAAGGGAGGGUGGAGCCCCAUAGAGAUUGGAACUUGGGUGUACCAGAUAUUCCUUAACAUCAAUCGCUGGAGCAAAAAUGAUAAAGAACAAAAAAUAAACACAGGCUCCUGCUCAGAACCAGCCGAGAACAGACUAGACAACUAGGGAAGAGGGCAUAUUCCCAGCCUCAGUCCCUCCACACUCAGGACCUUUCCAAGAACUCAGUUGCCUGGUACCUCACCCCAGGUAAGCUGAAAAGCCACUGGUGAUGCCCACAAAGUACCAGGGUUGUCAUGAAUGGUGGCCAUGCAAGAGCUCCAGAAGGCAAAAUCUUUUAGAGCAUCUGGGCUUUCAAGCCAUGCACACAGCCUGCUUUCUGUUUACAGUCGUGCAUGUGUGUGUCCCAAUGUGAUACCUGACACAGGUAAACUCCUCGGAAAUCUAU
rnacentral:lncRNA from 1 species